rnacentral:lncRNA from 1 species
AGCAGAUUGGGUACCAAGGAGGACUGCCUGGAGGUGGUGGCCGCGGUGACCGCUCCAAACCCGUUCGGCCCUGUGCAGAAGUCUGAAGAACAAAGGUGCCCUCUGACGCAGCCCCAGGUCUGCUUUGGGGGAAACUAAGAUAAGCACUGUCCAUGAAAGGGGGACAAGGCAGUGAGCAGACACAGACAACUGCAAGGACCUCUUCCCACAGGUACCACUGACCUGUACAAAUGGGCCCUCAGCUUGAAGACUUAGCUAAUACUCUGAAUGCUCAGAAGAUAGGCAGGGCCAAGGUCUGGGCCUGAGGUAGGUGGGCCCGUCACACUAGUUUGCUCUUGCUUGACCCCAGAGUUGGUUAGAGGCAAGCUCAGGAUACUAAAAAUGGAUAGUUAUAAUGUGCCUUGGGUCCCAGAGUAGCCCAGGUCUCUCAGGCCCUACAGGAUGAGGCCAGAGUGACCCACUGGGAGGUCCCCUGGCCUCUGACUCUUCCAGCACAUUCUCUGCUCAGUAUCACUCCUUCCAGGAAUUCUCCCCACCCAGGUUUGUAGAAGGGCCGGUGCCUUCUGUUCCUCCACCCCCGCUAGCCUCAGUGUACACUGUAAGACCUAUUCCUGCUUUAUGCCCAGGUAAG